AUUGAACGAUGGCGGCAGGCCUAACACAUGCAAGUCGAACGAGUGGCGGACGGGUGAGUAAUGUCUGGGAAACUGCCCGAUGGAGGGGGAUAACUACUGGAAACGGUAGCUAAUACCGCAUACCAUCGGAUGUGCCCAGAUGGGAUUAGCUAGUAGGUGGGGUAACGGCCAACCUAGGCGACGCUCCCUAGCUGGUCUGAGAGGAUGACCAGCCACACUGGAACUAUGACAGGGUCCAGACUCCUACGAGAGGCAGAAGGGGGGAAUAUUGCACAAUGGGCGCAAGCCUGAUGAAGCCAUGCCGGGUAUAUGAAGAAGGCCUUCGGGUUGUAUAGUACUUUCAGCGAGUAGGCGUUACUCGCAGAAGAAGCACCGGCUAACUCCGUGCCAGCAGCCGCGGUAAUA
rnacentral:rRNA from 1 species